rnacentral:tRNA from 1 species
GUCCAUGUAGCUUAAAACAAAGCGAGGCACUGAAAAUGCCUACAUGAGCCCAAGAGGCUCCGUGAACA